rnacentral:rRNA from 1 species
GACGAACGCUGGCGGCGUGCUUAACACAUGCAAGUCGAACGGAAAGGCCCUGCUUUUGUGGGGUGCUUGAGUGGCGAACGGGUGAGUAACACGUGAGUAACCUGCCCUUGACUUUGGGAUAACUUCAGGAAACUGGGGCUAAUACCGGAUAGGAGCUCCUGCUGCAUGGUGGGGGUUGGAAAGUUUCGGCGGUUGGGGAUGGACUCGCGGCUUAUCCGCUUGUUGGUGGGGUAGUGGCUUACCAAGGCUUAGACGGGUAGCCGGCCUGGGAGGGUGACCGGCCACAUGGGGACUGAGAUACGGCCCAGACUCCUACGGGAGGCAGCAGUGGGGAAUAUUGCACAAUGGGCGGAAGCCAGAUGCAGCGACGCCGCGUGCGGGAUGCCGGCCUUCUGGUUGUAAACCGCUGUCGCCUGUGACGAAGCGUGAGUGACGGUAAUGGGUAAAGAAGCACCGGCUAACUACGUG